ACUAAGCGUACACGGUGGAUGCCCUGGCAGUCAGAGGCGAUGAAGGACGUGCUAAUCUGCGAUAAGCGUCGGUAAGGUGAUAUGAACCGUUAUAACCGGCGAUUUCCGAAUGGGGAAACCCAGUGUGUUUCGACACACUAUCAUUAACUGAAUCCAUAGGUUAAUGAGGCGAACCGGGGGAACUGAAACAUCUAAGUACCCCGAGGAAAAGAAAUCAACCGAGAUUCCCCCAGUAGCGGCGAGCGAACGGGGAGGAGCCCAGAGCCUGAAUCAGUGUGUGUGUUAGUGGAAGCGUCUGGAAAGGCACGCGAUACAGGGUGACAGCCCCGUACACAAAAAUGCACAUGCUGUGAGCUCGAUGAGUAGGGCGGGACACGUGGUAUCCUGUCUGAAUAUGGGGGGACCAUCCUCCAAGGCUAAAUACUCCUGACUGACCGAUAGUGAACCAGUACCGUGAGGGAAAGGCGAAAAGAACCCCGGCGAGGGGAGUGAAAAAGAACCUGAAACCGUGUACGUACAAGCAGUGGGAGCCUCUUUUAUGGGGUGACUGCGUACCUUUUGUAUAAUGGGUCAGCGACUUAUAUUCUGUAGCAAGGUUAACCGAAUAGGGGAGCCGAAGGGAAACCGAGUCUUAACUGGGCGUUAAGUUGCAGGGUAUAGACCCGAAACCCGGUGAUCUAGCCAUGGGCAGGUUGAAGGUUGGGUAACACUAACUGGAGGACCGAACCGACUAAUGUUGAAAAAUUAGCGGAUGACUUGUGGCUGGGGGUGAAAGGCCAAUCAAACCGGGAGAUAGCUGGUUCUCCCCGAAAGCUAUUUAGGUAGCGCCUCGUGAAUUCAUCUCCGGGGGUAGAGCACUGUUUCGGCAAGGGGGUCAUCCCGACUUACCAACCCGAUGCAAACUGCGAAUACCGGAGAAUGUUAUCACGGGAGACACACGGCGGGUGCUAACGUCCGUCGUGAAGAGGGAAACAACCCAGACCGCCAGCUAAGGUCCCAAAGUCAUGGUUAAGUGGGAAACGAUGUGGGAAGGCCCAGACAGCCAGGAUGUUGGCUUAGAAGCAGCCAUCAUUUAAAGAAAGCGUAAUAGCUCACUGGUCGAGUCGGCCUGCGCGGAAGAUGUAACGGGGCUAAACCAUGCACCGAAGCUGCGGCAGCGACGCUUAUGCGUUGUUGGGUAGGGGAGCGUUCUGUAAGCCUGUGAAGGUGUGCUGUGAGGCAUGCUGGAGGUAUCAGAAGUGCGAAUGCUGACAUAAGUAACGAUAAAGCGGGUGAAAAGCCCGCUCGCCGGAAGACCAAGGGUUCCUGUCCAACGUUAAUCGGGGCAGGGUGAGUCGACCCCUAAGGCGAGGCCGAAAGGCGUAGUCGAUGGGAAACAGGUUAAUAUUCCUGUACUUGGUGUUACUGCGAAGGGGGACGGAGAAGGCUAUGUUGGCCGGGCGACGGUUGUCCCGGUUUAAGCGUGUAGGCUGGUUUUCCAGGCAAAUCCGGAAAAUCAAGGCUGAGGCGUGAUGACGAGGCACUACGGUGCUGAAGCAACAAAUGCCCUGCUUCCAGGAAAAGCCUCUAAGCAUCAGGUAACAUCAAAUCGUACCCCAAACCGACACAGGUGGUCAGGUAGAGAAUACCAAGGCGCUUGAGAGAACUCGGGUGAAGGAACUAGGCAAAAUGGUGCCGUAACUUCGGGAGAAGGCACGCUGAUAUGUAGGUGAAGCGACUUGCUCGUGGAGCUGAAAUCAGUCGAAGAUACCAGCUGGCUGCAACUGUUUAUUAAAAACACAGCACUGUGCAAACACGAAAGUGGACGUAUACGGUGUGACGCCUGCCCGGUGCCGGAAGGUUAAUUGAUGGGGUCAGCGCAAGCGAAGCUCUUGAUCGAAGCCCCGGUAAACGGCGGCCGUAACUAUAACGGUCCUAAGGUAGCGAAAUUCCUUGUCGGGUAAGUUCCGACCUGCACGAAUGGCGUAAUGAUGGCCAGGCUGUCUCCACCCGAGACUCAGUGAAAUUGAACUCGCUGUGAAGAUGCAGUGUACCCGCGGCAAGACGGAAAGACCCCGUGAACCUUUACUAUAGCUUGACACUGAACAUUGAGCCUUGAUGUGUAGGAUAGGUGGGAGGCUUUGAAGUGUGGACGCCAGUCUGCAUGGAGCCGACCUUGAAAUACCACCCUUUAAUGUUUGAUGUUCUAACGUUGACCCGUAAUCCGGGUUGCGGACAGUGUCUGGUGGGUAGUUUGACUGGGGCGGUCUCCUCCUAAAGAGUAACGGAGGAGCACGAAGGUUGGCUAAUCCUGGUCGGACAUCAGGAGGUUAGUGCAAUGGCAUAAGCCAGCUUGACUGCGAGCGUGACGGCGCGAGCAGGUGCGAAAGCAGGUCAUAGUGAUCCGGUGGUUCUGAAUGGAAGGGCCAUCGCUCAACGGAUAAAAGGUACUCCGGGGAUAACAGGCUGAUACCGCCCAAGAGUUCAUAUCGACGGCGGUGUUUGGCACCUCGAUGUCGGCUCAUCACAUCCUGGGGCUGAAGUAGGUCCCAAGGGUAUGGCUGUUCGCCAUUUAAAGUGGUACGCGAGCUGGGUUUAGAACGUCGUGAGACAGUUCGGUCCCUAUCUGCCGUGGGCGCUGGAGAACUGAGGGGGGCUGCUCCUAGUACGAGAGGACCGGAGUGGACGCAUCACUGGUGUUCGGGUUGUCAUGCCAAUGGCACUGCCCGGUAGCUAAAUGCGGAAGAGAUAAGUGCUGAAAGCAUCUAAGCACGAAACUUGCCCCGAGAUGAGUUCUCCCUGACUCCUUGAGAGUCCUGAAGGAACGUUGAAGACGACGACGUUGAUAGGCCGGGUGUGUAAGCGCAGCGAUGCGUUGAGCUAACCGGUACUAAUGAACCGUGAGGCUUAACC
rnacentral:rRNA from 1 species